UUUACAAUACCACAUUUUAAAAUAACCUUGGUGUUUUAUUUGCUCCAAUUUGGUGAACUUUUUCUGAUUUUAAGGCAAUUACACAAGGCCGAUCUAGAUUUCAUUCAAGAGACCAAUGGCUUGGAUCUUUCAAGAGUGUUUUGGAACUAAAGCAAAUGAGUCAACUCUUUCCAAAUGUUUCAGCAUUCACACUAAGAACAUAAAGUUUGCUCCGAGUGAUGUGAUCGGAUGACUUUAGUGUGACUAUGUACUUUGACCAGCUUGAAUUCAGCGUGAAGACAUUAAGUCUCCUUUUAUGUGAAGCAGCACAUUUCCAGUUUAUUGAAGUGAUCAUAGAGAAGACAAAUCAGCCAUACAGCCUAACAUAUUUUCCAGUGACACAAUAGUAAAUCAUUGCCAAGAGGUUCAUAUAGUCCACCCUUAAGAUAACAGUGCAACAAAGGGGUCCUGUUUCGCUGGCAUUAAAAUAUAAUCUUCCAAGUCUUAAUUCAGCUGAACAAAGCAGUUGAGCAAAUAAGCAGGGGUGUCAAACUGGCGACCAGCAGGCCAGAUGCAUCACAUGCAGGCCACACCCACCCCAGCUCCGUGAAGAGAAAAACAUUGCAAUAUGUCAUGUGAGAGCAACGUGACGCCACGAGUUUGACACCCAUAUUUUAACCUACCAACCUGCCUUCCAUUGAGGACCUGUAUACUGCUCGAAUCAAGAAGAGGGCCAUGAAAAUAUUUACAGAUCCCUCACAUCCUGGACAUAAACUGUUUCAAUUCCUACCCUCAAAACAACGCUAUAGAGCACUGCACACCAAAACAACUAGACACAAGAACAGUUUUUUCCCAAACGCCAUCACUCGGCUAAACAAAUAAUUCCCUCAACACUGUCAAACUAUUUACUAAAUUCUAUUCUAUUCUAUUCUAUUCUAUUCUAUUCUAAAUCUGUACUAUUAAUCUUCUCAUCAUUCCCAUCACCCAUCACCUUCCACUUAUGACUAUAUGACUAUAACUUUGUUGCUUGUAUCCUUACUAUUUAUAUUGAUAUUGAUUGUUUCCUGAUUGCUUAUUUGUACCCUAUGACUAUCAUUAAGUGUUGUAAGUGUUGUACCUUGAUGAAGGUAUCUUUUUUUUAUGUACA